rnacentral:lncRNA from 1 species
AGUAAUGCCUGCUGCUUUUAAGACCUAGUGCUGUUACUUUAUCUGUCUAUGGGGUUUUGUUACAGUAUGAAAUAUGUAAUACACAGUCCUUAUCCUUAGGGAAGGAACAAAAGACGGGGAACAAACGACGUCUGUAUAUGAAGAAAUGACAGAUGACCAUGGAUUAAGUGCCAACCUUGAUGAUUUACACAAGAAGGCCAAAGCAACUCAAGGAAGAGUGAGACCCCUAGAAUCUUUCAUGGAGCCUCUGAUUUGGGCCCAAAAGGAAAAGAAAAUCAGAGGAGACAGUGACUCUCAGACUCUUCCUUGUUAAUGAGCAAGAGUUCCCUGGAUCCAAGAGGCCUUUGCCUUCUGGCUUGCAGCUUCACAUUUGCAAGGUGGCUGCUGCACAUCUAACCUUUACACCCACAUUCCAGGCAGGAAUACUUGGAAAGAAUAAGGGUAAGUGAUUCUCUCCUAGUGAGAAAUUUCUCCUUUGCUAUUUAUUCAGAAAGGCAUGUUUUCCUUCACAUUGGUCAAAUGAGAAAGUUGAGAAAUGGAAAAGUUGAGCUUUUUAGCCUAUUUGACAAAGGAAGUCAAGGGCAUGGGAAACUGUGGAUUGUGUAGGGGUAUAUAGUCCAUAGAGUCUGCCACAGUGUGUCUCCCCAGAAACACACACACACACACACACAAACAGCUUUGCCAGGUAAUUCCAGGGAGUUUCUCUAAGUGGGAAGUACGAGGGGAGCCACUCAGUAGGGCCAAACUGAAAAGAGCAGCUCCAGCGGAUUCUCAGCUCAGCCCAAAGCCAGGGAGCAUGAGAGAAGCAAUUGGUGGGGAGAAGAUAGAAGUCAAAAGAUAAAGUGAAACUCUGUGAGUGGGAGGGUAGAGAAAGCCGAGUGGCAUUGAAGGCUAUAAGCACCAGACAUGGUACUAACAGUGAAAAAGACAUACAGU